ensembl:misc_RNA
UUGACAGCCCUGAAGACUGAUGUCCUGAUUAUCCUCAGAACUGGUGCACAUGGGCAUUUCCACGCCAUGUGACUCAGCCUAGAGGUGGAGAUUCCUGUUCUCAGAUCAAUGGUAGUUCAGUAUAAAGCCUCCUCACACUCAGUCAUUC